GGCCGCUCGGCCUGGCCUCAUAAACCAGUGCCCCCCGAGGUGCCCCUGCAGACACGGAUCUCCGCUGCUUUCCUGCUGGGAAGUCUCUCUUGCUGUGCACAGAGCCGAGCCCCGGGGCUGGACGCGGAGCGCUGCCCGGCCGGGCCCUUCCCGAUGGGGCGAAUGGGGCCGCUCCGCAUCGCGGGGGAGACAAGAGGAGCAGAGCAGCCCGGGGCCGUCGGGUUUUCCUCGGACACCCAACCUGGGUCGUGUCUGCAUCGCUCCGGACCUCGCCAGGCUUGGAAAUGAGCCGCAUCUGUUGCAGCCGGGAUACAUUCCUUGAUCGUUUCUGAGUCUGCAAUUAUUUCUCUGCCUGCCCAGUGUCCCGGAGAUGUGAAACGAAGCUGCCAUGCUCUGCUGCUGAGCCCUGAAACUCCACACAGACAUUCAAUUUAAUCUCUUGGAACAGACUGCAUUAAAGUCGUGUCAUCAGUGCACACUUGUGAUAAAAAGACGACAUGAAGAAAGACACUGAACUGAAAGGCUCUGCUUUGCUUUUCUGGGAAGAAAAUAGGAUAUCUGUCCCUUCAUUUGUUUCACGGAUUCCUUGCAUUUAAAUUCAGCAGAAGGCUUCAAUUGUCUAAACUUUAUCCUGAGCGUUUUUUGUCAGUGCUGGAAAGGAAUACAGUUAAGUGUUCCAUGGGGAGUCUGAUAGAAAAAGCUAUGUGCAGUGUUAAUGAGUUGGGAUGGGGUCAUUCGUUUUUCCAUAUAGAGCCAGAAACAAACACAGGACGCGAGGAGAAAUGAUCUGCAGGGAUCCACUGAUCUGUGGUAUGGGGUGAUCCUGAACUUCCACAGCCCUUCCAAAGACUCACAGAAGGAUCAAGGGGGCUUUCAGCUUAAAGUGCUCCCGUGUGCUUCAAUCCUGCUUCAUGCCAGGGCUCCAUGGAUAGCUGGUGCUGGAAGAAAUGACAAACGUCUUGGGUGCCACAAGAGAUUGCAUCAGCGUUACUGAUCCUCACUCGGCUGGUUACUGAAAACGCAUCAAGCAUCUCGAUGGGUCAGACUGCUAAAUUUGUAGACACGGAGUGUCAGGAAGCCUUUUUGUCAUCUUAGUACCAUUUAGUAUAUUUGUCCUCAAGUUCAAAGCAAUCCCGGCCUCAGACUUGUGAUAUUUGCUGCCCUUUCCCCUUUCUGUUGGCUCAGACCUCUUCCCUUUGAGGUCAACAUCAAAAUA